rnacentral:lncRNA from 1 species
UCUUCCUGUCUGUCCAAGGCAGCAGGACGGGGCCCGGGAGCUUUUGUGACACUUUCAGGGAUGUCACCCCACACCUGUCUCCCACGGACUGCCCCAGGGGCAGCAGCAGGCACUGCAGAUGGGCACCCGAAGGCCAGCGGUGGCUGAGGGACACAGACACAGGCCCGGGACCUCCGCAGGCGUGAGCCCAGACUUGGCAAGAGAAAAAUACGCUCUCUCUUUGCUUAAUUCCAGUCCUACCAGGCCAUGCUCAGCGCUCACAGUAGAAGGCUGUGUAAAUUGUCACUCAGCCCACUGCGAUCAGGAACAUUUUCCACAAUGAGCCAUUGGGCAGGCACAAUACAACGCAAUGUUUUCCUCUGACUGCAGCAUCUGUCAGUAAAUAACUGGCAUCAUAAUAAUCAGCAUUUUAUUCUGCGGGUCCCAGGGUCGACAGUGACCGUGGCACGCGCCGAGGCCCCCCGCGGCUCCUCAUGACGACCUCCCUCUCUCCACGUGGGGCAGGGCACAGCGGCUACAUUCCUCACGGGAGCUGAGGCACCAUCGCAGACAGCUAUGGACCGGGCUGGAGUGUCCAGGCAGAGGACUGUUCUCCUCCAUACAUAAAGAACUCAGACAAAAAGGAGACCUCCCCCAAAAUAAAAGAACCAAUCAAAAACAAACAGCUGAAAUGAAGACACCUCUCAGAAGAAGAAAAGCAAAGAGCCAAUGAAUACUUGAAAAUAACAGUCAGGACCUCUAGUCAUCACAGAGACGCAAAUUAAAGUGACCCUGAGAUUUUCUCUCACCCCAGGAGGAAUGGCCAUCAUCCAGGAACCAAAUGAUAGCCAAUGCUGGCGAGGCCGAGGGGAAAAGGGAACGCUUGUCACGUUUUUUUUGUACCAGGGAUCGAACUUAGGUCCUUGAGCUUGCAGGGCAGGCGGCAGAACCACUGAGCUAAAUCCCGGCCCAUGCUUCUCACUUUUAAGCAGAUGUUUGCGAUAAUAAUGAUUGCACUUGCUGCAGGAGUUGGUGCGCGGACACGAAUCAUUUGCUUAGUUUCCAACCCCUCCCACCUGCCUUGCUCCUUCCAACUCUUGGUCCCUUUCUGUUUGCAAAAACUCUCCAUAUUUCUCUUCAGUUCUUUUUUUCCUGUCCCCUUUCCCCCUCCUCUGUUUCCCUCUCAUCAUCUCUUGUUCCUCUUUCCAUUUAAAAAAGCUCUCUCUAUUCCCUAGUAUCUAUUUUUUAUUUUGCUUUCUAUUUAUAUUUUGGGUUUCUUAUCUGAGAGAAUCCAUGCAACAUUUAAGCUCGCGGGUCCGAUUUGUUUCACUUAACAUUAUGGUCUCAAAGUGCAUCCAUUGUCUUACUAACACCUCAAGUUUACCCUUUGUUAAGGCAGAGUAGUGCUCCACGGUGCGUAAAUAUCACACUUUCUUUAUCCACCCCCCUGACCCCCGGACAUCUAAAACUGACAUUAAGCCGGGAGAUGAAUACAUUCGGUGAAGCCCCAGGUCCUCAGAGCCUGGCUUCUGGAUUCCGCACAUGAAGUGACUUCUGUCUUCACCCACCUUCCCUUGGAGCGCCUCACAGUGGCUUGCAGUCAGCCCAUCAUUCUGUAAAUACUCCACUAUGCAUCUCUAAAGUACUUUAGAUUUUGUCAUAGUAACAUUAACUGCUAAAAUGGAGCACAGACAUUCAAAUCUCCGGUGUUCCAACUUCCUUUCUUCCGACGCAUCCUACACCCUCCCUGUCCUAGUUGCCUUCUUCCCGGCCUGGCCCGACCGCAGAGCCUGCCAGGAAACUUCCGGAUUUGCCAGUCACAAGGAGCGUGACAGCUCGGUGUAGAGGAGAUGCGAUGCUAUGCAUGCUGGGGCAAACUGAGUGUUUGUUACCUGCUUGCCGUUACUUUUGGCGCCGGGAGGCCCGGAAGGCCUGAGCUGGACGGCGAGAUCAGGUUC